GUGUGUGUGUGUGUGUGUGUGUGUGUGUGUGUGUGUGUGUGUGUGUGUGGUUGCUGGUGUACACAAUGACAACACUCACACAAACAAAGAUGCACAGUCAUAUUGAAGUGUGGUGGACUUACUGGAUUCCUCCAUGAAGCAUCUCUGAAUAUAUCACACCACAGUACGUCAUAAGUAGGUUGAUCUUGCAUUGCUGCCUUGAUUCCGACAUUUUUUUACAAAGCUGAAACAUACUCCACAGUCUGCUUAUUUAGCCUCUAGGGGAUUCAUGAUUUCAGCGUCUAUACUCAUGAUAAACAGCAUAAAGAGACUGACGGUAUGCAAGAAAACCACAACAGCCAAACUCACAGGAACAUGUACGAAGCCGCACAAGCCCCAACCCUCCACACCUAGAGCUGAAAGAAACAGAUCUCAGAAUAGUGUCCUAGAUUUGACUUCAAGACUCAUGACUCAUACUUGGAGUUAUACUCUGCAUUUAGAUAACAUACUGAACAUGUGUCCAUGAAAUUAAGCAGCAUGUGUAACUUUCUUUGAUUGUUGAUAACAUCUCUGCAAGCAAGCUACUCAUAAAACCACAGUAACAGUAAAACCCUCUGAACUGACUCGACCCCUGGGUCCAGGAUGUAUACAUGGGUGGGUUGCAGGUACUUUUGGUUUAUUAGACACCCGCAGUGAUCCUGUGGAGCAGAAAUCCACGAGCAUGUCUUCCUGAUAAAAGAGGCUCUGUGUGCAGGGAUGCACAGCGCAUCACUUCACUGAGAGUUUAAAUCGGAGCUCAGCUGCAUAUCUGUAUUAUGUAAAACAUUUUUGGUCUUAACCACAUAAAAAAGAUCCAGGAUUAAACUCUGUGGCUCCAUUUUUUUUUUCACUAUGUCAGACUCAAACAAAGUCAGGGAGUCGCAUGGAUGUCACGUGUUCACACACACGGCCUUCCAAACUAAAAUGUCUUAUUUCACUGAUGAAAUUCACGUCAAUAGUUGCUAAAGUAAGACAUAUGGCUAAUUACACUCAACCAUUUCCUGCUUAUUCUCAGACUGCCCUCAUAUAAACUGUGCCCUACAUAAUACACUCAGUCGUACUUGACCGCUCUCUUUUUCUGGCCUGUAAAUGGGUCAGUUCUGUCAGACCACCGGUCAGACAGACUUGGCGAAGGGUUUCUGUGUGUAUUAGUGUGUGUGUUUGUGCAGUGGCGUGAGUUAUAAAUGUGAAAUUCUUUGAGAGCUUUAUAAUAGGGUGCGUUUGUGAAUGAAGCUUCUUGUUGACAUUCAUUCAGAGCGAGUUUUCUUCUGUGAAAGUGAACUGGAGAAAUACAGAGAAAACAGGAUGCUCACAUGAUAAUCUGUAAUAUGUUGUUGUUUUCUCUGAGUCCUGUCACUAGACAUGACACAUUAUGUGUUUUUGUGUGUCUGUUGUCUAGGCUCUGUUGCUGAAAUACCCUUAGGCAGGCCACGGUAAUUUGGAACCUUUAAAUAUGUGAUUAUGGAAACUGUAAGUUAGGAAAUCACUCUCAGUUUAUUCCUCCUCCGAUGUUUUUCAGCAAUAAAUAAUAACACAACAGUUAGAAGCUAAUCCUAAUUAUGAAGCAGUGUGAGGCAAUAGUCAGUGUCUGUGUGUGUUUGUGUCUGAUAAUGUGUGUG